rnacentral:rRNA from 1 species
GGGGAAUAUUGGACAAUGGGGGCAACCCUGAUCCAGCCAUGCCGCGUGUGCGAAGAAGGCCCUCGGGUUGUAAAGCACUUUCAGCGAGGAAGAACGCCUAUCGGUUAAUACCCGGUAGGAAAGACAUCACUCGCAGAAGAAGCACCGGCUAACUCCUUCCCAGCAGCCGCGGUAAUACGGAGGGUGCAAGCGUUAAUCGGAAUUACUGGGCGUAAAGCGCGCGUAGGUGGCUUGAUAAGCCGGUUGUGAAAGCCCCGGGCUCAACCUGGGAACGGCAUCCGGAACUGUCAGGCUCGAGUGCAGGAGAGGAAGGUAGAAUUCCCGGUGUAGCGGUGAAAUGCGUAGAGAUCGGGAGGAAUACCAGUGGCGAAGGCGGCCUUCUGGACUGACACUGACACUGAGGUGCGAAAGCGUGGGUAGCAAACA